rnacentral:sRNA from 1 species
AUUAAAGACAUGCAUAACUCGAACAUGGGGGUUGGUUGCCUAUCUACUUUCCGUUUCUGAGGCAUUAAAAU